GCUGGCGGCGUGCUUAAUACAUGCAAGUCGAACGCUCUCGACCUUCGGGUCACUGAGAGAGUGGCGAACGGGUGCGUAACACGUGAGAAACCUACCCCGAAGACGGGAAUAGCCCGAGGAAACUCGGAUUAAUACCCGAUAUCUCCACACUGUCGCAUGACAGAGUGAAGAAAGUUCCGGCGCUUCGGGAGGGUCUCGCGGCCUAUCAGCUUGUUGGUGAGGUAACGGCUCACCAAGGCAUCGACGGGUAGCUGGUCUGAGAGGAUGAUCAGCCACACUGGGACUGAGACACGGCCCAGACUCCUACGGGAGGCAGCAGUAGGGAAUCUUGCGCAAUGGGCGAAAGCCUGACGCAGCAACGCCGCGUGGGGGAUGAAUGCCUUCGGGUUGUAAACCCCUUUCAGCAGGGACGAAAUUGACGGUACCUGCAGAAGAAGGUCCGGCCAACUACGUGCCAGCAGCCGCGGUAAUACGUAGGGACCGAGCGUUGUCCGGAAUUAUUGGGCGUAAAGAGCUCGUAGGCGGUUCAGUAAGUCGGGUGUGAAAACUCAAGGCUCAACCUUGAGACGCCACUCGAUACUGCUGUGACUUGAGUCCGGUAGAGGAGUGUGGAAUUCCUGGUGUAGCGGUGAAAUGCGCAGAUAUCAGGAGGAACACCAGCGGCGAAGGCGGCACUCUGGGCCGGUACUGACGCUGAGGAGCGAAAGCAUGGGGAGCAAACAGGAUUAGAUACCCUGGUAGUCCAUGCCGUAAACGUUGGGCACUAGGUAUGGGACCAUAUCAACGGGUUCCGUGCCGUAGCUAACGCAUUAAGUGCCCCGCCUGGGGAGUACGGCCGCA
rnacentral:rRNA from 1 species